ACUCCUACGGGAGGCUGCAGUGGGGAAUCUUCCGCAAUGGGCGAAAGCCUGACGGAGCAACGCCGCGUGAGUGACGAAGGCCCUUGGGUCGUAAAACUCUGUCUUCAGGGAAGAAAAAAAUGACGGUACCUGAGGAGGAAGCCCCGGCUAACUACGUGCCAGCAGCCGCGGUAAAACGUAGGGGGCGAGCGUUGUCCGGAAUUACUGGGCGUAAAGGGCGUGUAGGCGGUUCGCGAAGUCAGGAGUGAAAACUCGGGGCUCAACCUC
rnacentral:rRNA from 1 species